GGGCCCGCACAAGCGGUGGAGCAUGUGGUUUAAUUCGAUGAUACGCGAGGAACCUUACCAGGGCUUAAAUGGAAAAUGACAGGGGCAGAGACGCCCCCUUCUUCGGACAUUUUUCAAGGUGCUGCAUGGUUGUCGUCAGCUCGUGCCGUGAGGUGUCAGGUUAAGUCCUAUAACGAGCGCAACCCCUACCGUUAGUUGCCAGCGAGUAAUGUCGGGGACUCUAACGGAACUGCCGGUGCAAACCGUGAGGAAGGUGGGGACGACGUCAAAUCAUCACGGCCCUUACGUCCUGGCCACACACGUGCUACAAUGGUAGGUACAGGAGGGAAGCCACCCCAGCGAGGGGGAG
rnacentral:rRNA from 1 species